rnacentral:rRNA from 2 species
ACUUAAAUUGAAGAGUUUGAUCAUGGCUCAGAUUGAACGCUGGCGGCAGGCCUAACACAUGCAAGUCGAGCGGUAGCACAGAGAGCUUGCUCUCGGGUGACGAGCGGCGGACGGGUGAGUAAUGUCUGGGAAACUGCCUGAUGGAGGGGGAUAACUACUGGAAACGGUAGCUAAUACCGCAUAACGUCGCAAGACCAAAGUGGGGGACCUUCGGGCCUCAUGCCAUCAGAUGUGCCCAGAUGGGAUUAGCUGGUAGGUGGGGUAACGGCUCACCUAGGCGACGAUCCCUAGCUGGUCUGAGAGGAUGACCAGCCACACUGGAACUGAGACACGGUCCAGACUCCUACGGGAGGCAGCAGUGGGGAAUAUUGCACAAUGGGCGCAAGCCUGAUGCAGCCAUGCCGCGUGUGUGAAGAAGGCCUUCGGGUUGUAAAGCACUUUCAGCGGGGAGGAAGGCGGUGAGGUUAAUAACCUCACCGAUUGACGUUACCCGCAGAAGAAGCACCGGCUAACUCCGUGCCAGCAGCCGCGGUAAUACGGAGGGUGCAAGCGUUAAUCGGAAUUACUGGGCGUAAAGCGCACGCAGGCGGUCUGUCAAGUCGGAUGUGAAAUCCCCGGGCUCAACCUGGGAACUGCAUUCGAAACUGGCAGGCUAGAGUCUUGUAGAGGGGGGUAGAAUUCCAGGUGUAGCGGUGAAAUGCGUAGAGAUCUGGAGGAAUACCGGUGGCGAAGGCGGCCCCCUGGACAAAGACUGACGCUCAGGUGCGAAAGCGUGGGGAGCAAACAGGAUUAGAUACCCUGGUAGUCCACGCUGUAAACGAUGUCGAUUUGGAGGUUGUGCCCUUGAGGCGUGGCUUCCGGAGCUAACGCGUUAAAUCGACCGCCUGGGGAGUACGGCCGCAAGGUUAAAACUCAAAUGAAUUGACGGGGGCCCGCACAAGCGGUGGAGCAUGUGGUUUAAUUCGAUGCAACGCGAAGAACCUUACCUGGUCUUGACAUCCACAGAACUUAGCAGAGAUGCUUUGGUGCCUUCGGGAACUGUGAGACAGGUGCUGCAUGGCUGUCGUCAGCUCGUGUUGUGAAAUGUUGGGUUAAGUCCCGCAACGAGCGCAACCCUUAUCCUUUGUUGCCAGCGGUUAGGCCGGGAACUCAAAGGAGACUGCCAGUGAUAAACUGGAGGAAGGUGGGGAUGACGUCAAGUCAUCAUGGCCCUUACGACCAGGGCUACACACGUGCUACAAUGGCAUAUACAAAGAGAAGCGACCUCGCGAGAGCAAGCGGACCUCAUAAAGUAUGUCGUAGUCCGGAUUGGAGUCUGCAACUCGACUCCAUGAAGUCGGAAUCGCUAGUAAUCGUAGAUCAGAAUGCUACGGUGAAUACGUUCCCGGGCCUUGUACACACCGCCCGUCACACCAUGGGAGUGGGUUGCAAAAGAAGUAGGUAGCUUAACCUUCGGGAGGGCGCUUACCACUUUGUGAUUCAUGACUGGGGUGAAGUCGUAACAAGGUAACCGUAGGGGAACCUGCGGUUGGAUCACCUCCUUACCUUAAAGAA